UACAGAGGGUGCGAGCGUUGUCCGGAAUCACUGGGCGUAAAGGGCGCGUAGGCGGCUUGGUAAGUAGGGGGUGAAAUCUCAUGGCUCAACUGUGAGGCUGCCUCCUAGACUGCUUGGCUCGAGCACAGUAGAGGCGAGUGGAAUUCCCGGUGUAGCGGUGGAAUGCGUAGAGAUCGGGAAGAACAUCGGUGGCGAAGGCGGCUCGCUGGGCUGUAGCUGACGCUGAUGCGCGAAAGCGUGGGGAGCAAACAGG
rnacentral:rRNA from 1 species